UGUGAUGCCCUCAUUAUUCAAAGGUUUUAUUGAUAUCAUACCAGAAAGCUGGUUUCAGCUCCUGGCAAACUGGCAACACAAGAGAAGGAUUUCCUGGAUGUCAUCUUCAUUCAAACACUGAUAAAGUGCAGCCAAAGCAGGGAAGACAAAUUAAAUAUUUAAAGCAUUGCUGGAGAAGGAAAGAACUAGACAAGAAACCACAGCCUGAUUGUAAUGAAGAAGUAAAACUGGACAACUAUCAGCACUUACCCUUUGUUUUACAGUGAAAACAUACAUACAUACAUAUAACCUGACUUUGCUGAGCACAUCCUGCUUGAACCUGAGGUUUCACAGGAUCCUUCAGCACUUCCAGAACUGCUGAGAACCUGGACCACGCUCACCAGCUGGGAUGGUAGAAGAUGACAAUCCCCAUCAUUUAGCUCAGAAAUGAAUGGGUCUGACUGCUGGCCCUAGAGCAGCUGGACUAGAUAAUUGUACAGAGCGAGGGAAACACCUGGUGAAGACUCCAUAUAUUCCUAGUUACUUCUUUGUUUUACCUGGCUUAUGAAUAUUUAC